rnacentral:ribozyme from 1 species
UGCCCAGCAACUCCUAACCCUACCUACUCGUGGUACUGGUCGGGGUACGAGCAACCUUAGGGAAGAUCGGGUAAUCAAUUCCGUUGGGAACUUUGGUCGUAUGGUGACAGGAAAGG